UACAGAGGUCUCAAGCGUUGUUCGGAUUCAUUGGGCGUAAAGGGUGCGUAGGCGGCGCGGUAAGUCGGGUGUGAAAUCUCGGAGCUUAACUCCGAAACUGCAUUCGAUACUGCCGUGCUUGAGGACUGGAGAGGAGACUGGAAUUUACGGUGUAGCGGUGAAAAUGCGUAGAUAUCGUAAGGAAGACCAGUGGCGAAGGCGGGCUCCUGGACUGAUUCCCUGACGCUGAG
rnacentral:rRNA from 1 species